rnacentral:misc_RNA from 1 species
AUGAUAAGCUGGAAAUCUUAUCAGCUGCCUGGCAGCAGACGUCUUGGGUCUUGGCGUAUAAAAGCUGACCAAAACAGACGCACUGCGCCAAAGCAUCUCACUUGCUUUACCAAUCACCAGUCUGGGGACAUGUCGCUUGGAUCUACACACUUGAUGCUAUUCCUGGCCCUGAUUCUGGCCGCCUCUGCAGAGGGCGUGGUCAGGCCACUACCGCCCUAUGUGGGACUGCCGACCCAGGAUGGUCUAACCCGUCUGUUCUUUAACUCUCGGGUGACACGUCGCGAUCCCAAGACCUCGGUCUCCUGCUUUGCUGGCUACAUUGGCGAAUCGAAUCUUAUUGCGGAGCAGUACAGUGGAGCCUACAGCGAAUGUCUACAGCAGGCGCACAAUUCACGGCGCGGCAUUGACAAAGACUUUCUAGCUACGCGCAGGAGAAUUGAGCAGUCGGCGGAAUCAGUUUGUGGCACGCUACGAGUCUGCAGUAAGAUUAACGGCACACUUGACUCCUUCAAUUGUCAUGCCGCAGCGGGUUCCAACAACACCAUUGCCACGUAUGGCAUCUCAGGAAAUGCCUCGGAGUCGGCUACGUUGUUGCAGGAACGCUAUCGCCUGAUCGAUCUGCAUCAUGAACAAUGCAACCACAAGGCGGAGCGCACUUACGUGGAGUCAACGGCCAGCAACUACAACUACCUUCAGGCCUGCCUCGAUGGACGCAUCAAGCCAAAGCCAUUGCCCAGCAGCACCAGCUCCACGUCAACAACUACCACAACCACAACGACCACAACGACAACAGAGGCGCCAACAACAGCCACACCGGAGCCAGUGACAACGGAAAGCCCAGCAAAUCUGGAGGAUCAGUUUAAGCAGCUUUUAAACUUGUUGAACUAAUGUCACAGCGCGUCAAGAAUGUUUUAAGCAAGCUGUUUAAAUCCUAAAAACUGCUCAAUAAUAACUCUCAGUUUGAUACGACCACUCUCAAAUAUGUAAGGCCCAUAUACGACUUUUUAUACCCUGAACCCGUCGAUGUAGAUCUCCGUCGAUGUAGAUGCUUCCUUCUGAAUGUUACAUACAUUUGCACAAA